rnacentral:rRNA from 1 species
UGUUGCCUACGGGAGGCAGCAGUGAGGAAUAUUGGUCAAUGGGCGAGAGCCUGAACCAGCCAAGUCGCGUGAGGGAGUACUGCCCUAUGGAUUGUAAACCUCUUUUGCCGGGGAGCAAAAAGCGGUACGUGUACCGCAUCGAGAGUACCCGGAGAAAAAGCAUCGGCUAACUCCGUGCCAGCAGCCGCGGUAAUACGGAGGAUGCGAGCGUUAUCCGGAUUUAUUGGGUUUAAAGGGUGCGCAGGCGGCGAGUUAAGUCAGCGGUAAAAUUUCGGGGCUCAACCCCGACGAGCCGUUGAAACUGG